GUGUUUGCUUUGGCAACACAUAUACUAAAAUUAGAACAAUACAGAGAAGAUUAGCAUGGCCCCUGUGCAAGUAUGACAUGCAAAUUCAUGAAGCAUUCCAUAUUUUU